rnacentral:rRNA from 1 species
GAUCCUGGCUCAGGAUAAACGCUGGCGGCGCACAUAAGACAUGCAAGUCGAACGGACUUAAUCGAAAUAUUUAUAUUUUGAAGCGGUUAGUGGCGGACUGGUGAGUAACGCGUAAGGAACCUGCCUAUUAGAGGGGAAUAACAGUGAGAAAUCAUUGCUAAUACCGCAUAUGCCAUAGAUAUCACAUGAUAACAGUGGGAAAGGAAGGCAAUCCGCUAAUAGAUGGCCUUGUCGU